GGAUUAUAUAGCCCUAGAUGGCAGAGAUAAAGACAGAAUCCCACUGCCUGCAGGCGAUGGGACCGCAGUGCGUAAAGACCCAGGACUGUGAGGUCUGUUCUACUUACCAGGAACUUCAUGAUGCAUAGAGAAUGGCUACAGAGCUAGUUAGUCUACAGAAGAAGGGAGAGAGAAUGGAGAUGCAGCUACAUUCCAGGAGCAGGCUGGACACAGGGGUUCUCCCCGCAGGGGCUCCACUUCCUUGGAUCAACCAGCUUUCACCAAACCGAGCUGCCAUUGGCUCCUUAUGGAAGGCGAGUUUCUAGCGGCCCCAUGAACAGCUAGCAUGAGUACCGCCUUGCCUGCCCAAGGUUCCUGAUGAUGGAGAGAAGCAUGGAGCCGUCUCAUCAUUUAACCAUGCUGUGUCCUAUUUUCAAGCAGCAGGUGGUGACAGUAGCCUGGCCCAUAGUCUUCUGUGGUCAAGCCCAUCUUGACCACAAGCCAAGGGAAGAAGAGGACAAAGUUUUCAGAAAGUUUCAACGUAGAAACAGCAAAGUGUCUGCUACAUCAUAGGCACUGGAACGAUGACUCUCCAGCUCUUCACCUCAAACGCUCAGUUUUGUAAGAGGUGAAAAUAGAGAAUGGUCCAUAGACUUCUAGGUUGCUCUGGCCAUAACCAAUCUUGCCAGCCUCUCUGAAAUCAAGCAGUAUCCUACCUACAUUAGGUGACAACUUUAGAAUUAGACUUAAAACUUUUAAAAAUUCUUUUUUGGAAAUAAAAUUAAG